AUGAAAUCGGCCAUUAGCCCUUAGGAUUGAUUAAUGCUCAAUCUGCCUGUAAUAUUCUGUUUAUCUUGUUUAGUAUUAUUUGCAUGCAGCCAUGACUCCAUUUCAUUGAUUUUUAAACUUAACAUGCGCCAUCUAAUUGCACAUUAAAUUUAAUGGAGACAUUAAAACGUUCGUUAAGUUAUUACGUUUCAAAUACUGCAGCGCCAUUAGCUAACGGACCAUUAAAUAUAAAUUAUGUCGGUUUGGUCCCGCAUUCUGGAUAGACCUCGCUCAGCUUUAGUCAAACAUUGUGCUUGUCAAAGUGUGUGUGAGUGUAAAACUGUGUCCAAAGAUUAGUGUUUACUGUUUACAUUGGAUAACAGGAUGCAGGACAAGCAAAGAAGGAACCGAGGAAGCAAUUUUUCCAAGGAGGAAGAGCUUUCGUUGCUUCAUGAAAUAAAUAAAUACAAAAAUACUAUCGAAUGCAAGAUGACCGAUAAAUUUAAUUUAGCUGAAAAGAAUGAGGCUUGGCAAAAAAUACUGAUUGCAUUUAAUUCAAAAAAUAAACGCCCAAGAAAUGUGGAGCAAAUUAAAAAUAAAUAUGAUAAUAUGAAAAGUAAAGCAAGAAAAAUAGCAGCAAGUAAUAAAAAUUACUUGCGGGGCAUAGAGGGUGGACCAUCACAGACCCUAGAUUUGGACCCUGUGAUUGAAGCUGUACUCAGAAUUAUUAAUUCUGCGACCGUCGUGGGUUUAGAAGAUCCUUUUGACUGCGUAUUGGAUAACGAUCAAAUAAAAGUAGAAGAAAAUUCUAGUUCGGCUGAUGACAUAAAGGAAUUAGUUUAUGAGGAGAAUUCUUCGACGUACAGUUUAGAAAAUAUUAAUAAACAUUUUAAUUAUAAUGAGCAGAUCUCAUCAGCCAAUGAAGAACAAAGCUUGGAGGUAGUAGAUAAUGGUGUUCAAAUACAGGAAAGUAGAGAGGAAGCACAUAAAAAAAGAACAGGGGACUGGAGCACUUACGCUCCAAAAAAAUUACGAACCUUGAUAUCCCAGAAUCCAAGUGAAAUAUCUGAAAAUACCACAGAAGAAUUUUACAGAAAAAAAAUGGAGUUAAUCGAGGAAGAAAUAAAAAAAAGUAAGUUAGAACAGAGCGUUAUCACAGAAAAAAAUUUGCGAGAUAUUGAGGAACACCAAAAACGGAUGAAGCUUCUGGAUUUAGAAAUAAAAAUAAAAGAACAAAUGUUAAAUAAUAAUUAAUUAUUAAAUUCAUAUUUUUUAUAAACUA